GCUUCCAUUGUUAACCAGUAGUAACCUGCCCUUAGGAUCUUCUUCGCCAUUGCAUGCCCAUUUGCGUGUGUGCCGAAAGACCCUUCGUGUAUGUCCUUCAUAAGCUGAUUAGCCUCAUGUUUUUCCACACACCUCAACAAAACCAUGUCAUAAUCCUGCUUGUAUAAUACCUCCCCAUUUAAAAGGAACUUCGAUGCCAACCUCC
rnacentral:lncRNA from 1 species